rnacentral:rRNA from 1 species
GACGAACGCUGGCGGCGUGCCUAAUACAUGCAAGUCGACCUUAGUGGCGAACGGGUGCGUAACCCGUGGGUAACCUGCCCAUCAGCAGGGGAUAACACUUGGAAACAGGUGCUAAUACCGUAUACUGAUGGAUGGACCCGCGGUGCAUUAGCUAGUUGGUGAGGUAACGGCCUACCAAGGCGACGAUCCGUCACUGGUCUGAGAGGAUGAGCAGUCACACUGGAACUGAGACACGGUCCAGACGCCUACGGGAGGAAGCAGUGGGGAAUAGUGGACAAUGGGCGAAAGCCUGAUCCAGCCAUGCCGCGUGUGGGAAGAAGGUCUUCGGAUUGUAAAGCACUUUAAGUUGGGAGGCGUUACCCGCAGAAGAAGCACCGGCUAACUCCGUGCCAGCAGCCGCGGUAAUAC